rnacentral:rRNA from 1 species
UUUUCACUCGACAAUUAAACGCACACAGUACUCGGUGAGAUCUGGACAUUAUAAGUAUCGACACAAGAAGCUGCAGUUGUCAUCACGCAUCAAUCUCCUCUUGACAGAACGAGGUACACUAGUGAUCAACUAAUUAAGCUGUCCUUUGCGUAGCUGGCUAGCUAGUGAGUUAGUGAGGAUCAAUGGCAUCCCAGCUGGAGUCACUCAUGAAGCGACUGUGGAGCUAUCUCCCCUCUUCUCUUAGCAGUUCCAGGAGCGACCCUCCGCAGCAGAUUCCUGAUCCCACCGGUGAUCCUCCAGCCGCUCAAGCCGGGGACACUCCCGCCGGUCAGGAGCUUCCACCCGCUCUUCAAGGUGUAAACUCAGGACUCAGCUACUUAUCUACUCUCAGCACACACGCAUACGUUACACACCUCUUUUUGCUAAUGAUAUCCCCCGAACGCUGUGAUAAUAAUCUAUGGCUUCGCAGUUUCAGAUCUUGAGCAACUCCAAAGUCUUAACCAUAUAGGACGCCUUGAUGGUGCACUUGAGCCCGAUCUGGCCGGCAAGCCAAAGCUUGGCAGUUCCACCAGUUUCCCUCGACACAAAAUUCAUGAGCCUGUCGGCGAUUACUCCUCUCAGGAAGGAUCACGAAGGCUCGCGAUAGGGCAACCCGAUGGGACCCACCAAGGGCCCGUGCACCGCCGUGGUGUGAGCCUCCCCUAGGGUUUGUUCGGAUGCUUCUCGGCCGAGGCCUUCAUCUAUAUAGAAGACCUUUAGAUAUAUUUUAAGGAAGACAUAUUGUUUCUUAGGCAUCCUGCCGAAGGAGGAAUUCAUUGCUGAACUUUAGCAAUAUCAUCAUCACUAGAUAUGUAGAAAUCUCUCUUUGUAUGUUUUAUAUGUAUACAUUAUGUGAGCUGCAACAUAUGAUUAUGAUUAUCUAUAUGUGGUUUUGUGGUGGAUA